rnacentral:rRNA from 1 species
CCUUUGCCCUUAGAGUUUGAUCCUGGCUCAGGACGAACGCUGGCGGCGUGCUUAACACAUGCAAGUCGAGCGGAAAGGCCCUUCGGGGUACUCGAGCGGCGAGCGGGUGAGUAACACGUGAGCAACCUGCCCCAGGCUUUGGGAUAACCCCGGGAAACCGGGGCUAAUACCGGAUAUGACCUUGCACCGCAUGGUGUUUGGUGGAAAGUUUUUCGGCUUGGGAUGGGCUCGCGGCCUAUCAGCUUGUUGGUGGGGUGAUGGCCUACCAAGGCGACGACGGGUAGCCGGCCUGAGAGGGCGACCGGCCACACUGGGACUGAGACACGGCCCAGACUCCUACGGGAGGCAGCAGUGGGGAAUAUUGCACAAUGGGCGGAAGCCUGAUGCAGCGACGCCGCGUGAGGGAUGACGGCCUUCGGGUUGUAAACCUCUUUCAGCAGGGACGAAGCGUAAGUGACGGUACCUGCAGAAGAAGCGCCGGCCAACUACGUGCCAGCAGCCGCGGUAAGACGUAGGGCGCGAGCGUUGUCCGGAUUUAUUGGGCGUAA